CUUGGCGACCAUAGCGUUUUGGACCCACCUGAUUCCAUUCCGAACUCAGAAGUGAAACGAA
rnacentral:rRNA from 1 species